rnacentral:rRNA from 1 species
GAUGAACGCUGGCGGCGUGCCUAAUACAUGCAAGUCGAGCGAACAGACGAGGAGCUUGCUCCUCUGACGUUAGCGGCGGACGGGUGAGUAACACGUGGAUAACCUACUUAUAAGACUGGGAUAACUUCGGGAAACCGGAGCUAAUACUGGAUAAUAUAUUGAACCGCAUGGUUCAAUAGUGAAAGACGGUUUUGCUGUCACUUAUAGAUGGAUCCGCGCCGCAUUAGCUAGUUGGUAAGGUAACGGCUUACCAAGGCAACGAUGCGUAGCCGACCUGAGAGGGUGAUCGGCCACACUGGAACUGAGACACGGUCCAGACUCCUACGGGAGGCAGCAGUAGGGAAUCUUCCGCAAUGGGCGAAAGCCUGACGGAGCAACGCCGCGUGAGUGAUGAAGGUCUUCGGAUCGUAAAACUCUGUUAUUAGGGAAGAACAGAUGUGUAAGUAACUAUGCACGUCUUGACGGUACCUAAUCAGAAAGCCACGGCUAACUACGUG